rnacentral:rRNA from 1 species
GACGUAGGGUCCAAGCGUUGUCCGGAUUUACUGGGCGUAAAGAGCGCGUAGGCGGCUUGAUAAGUGUGAUGUGAAAUCUCCAGGGCUUAACCCGGAAACUGCACCGCAGACUGUCAGGCUUGAGGAAUGCAGAGGUAACUGGAAUUCCUGGUGUAGCGGUGAAAUGCGUUGAUAUCUGGAGGAACACCGGUGGCGAAGGCGACGUCCUGGACCGGCAUUGACGCUGAGGCGCGAAAGCCAGGGGAGCAAACGGG